CAGUCGCCGCGGGAAUACGUAGGGUGCAAGCGUUAAUCGGAAUUACUGGGCGUAAAGCGUGCGCAGGCGGUUUGUUAAGACAGAUGUGAAAUCCCCGGGCUCAACCUGGGAACUGCAUUUGUGACUGGCAAGCUAGAGUGUGGCAGAGGGGGGUGGAAUUCCGCGUGUAGCAGUGAAAUGCGUAGAUAUGCGGAGGAACACCGAUGGCGAAGGCGGCCCCCUGGGCCAACACUGACGCUCAUGCACGAAAGCGUGGGGAGCAAACAGGAUUAGAUACCCGCGUAGUCCCUGUCUCUUAUAC
rnacentral:rRNA from 1 species